CAACCUUCUUUAACUGUCCAUGGCACUGUCUAACACAAUAUACAUGUGGUGCUAAAUUGAACAGUCUGUUUAGAUGUUAGUGAAUUUUCUUGGUUUGUGUGACCGUCUGAGGUUUGAUAUCUGGGUGAUGACGCACUUUUAAAAGGUUUCGUACUUGAAAUAAUCUGAUAAAGAAGAACUGUGCUAUUAAAUGCUGCCAGUUAGCUUUCCAACACGCUAACACCGACAGCUAGUUACUAUAGCAUCAUUAGCCAGCAGCCGUUUGUCAUCUGUGCUCUUCAUAGAUGGCUGAUGAUAGCGUGAAAAUUGAAGCUUCAGCCCAGCAGGAGAAAGAUAACGGAGGCAACAAGAGCAGUCAGAACACGGUGAGCAGUAAUGGAGGAAAUGCAGCAGAAAACCAAACGGUCUCCAAAAGUCAGAGGAAGAAGCUUCUGAAACAGCAGAAAUGGGAAGAAGAGAGAGAACUUCGAAAGCAGAGACGAAAGGAGAAGAAGCAGCAGCGUCGGCUGCAGAGGAGCAACCAUCUGGAGGAGCAGGGAGGAGAAGCCCAACAUAUCAGGAAACGGCCCCGCAGAGAGGUGACACCCAGCUCUCUCAGGCUGGUGGUGGACUGCAGCUUCGACAACCUCAUGCUGACCAAGGAUGUCCAAAAGCUUCACAAACAGAUCCAGCGCUGCUAUGCUGAGAACAGACGAGCCCUGCAUCCAGUGCAGGUUUAUCUGACAAGCCUGGGAGGACAGCUGAAACAAAGCAUGGAUAAGAAGGACAAAGGAUGGGUAAACUGGAAGGACAUCAGCAUUAAAACAGAGCACUACAGUGAAGUUGUGGCAAAGGAGGACCUGGUGUACCUGACAUCAGACUCUCCCAACGUGCUGGAAGAGCUGGACCACAAAAAGGCCUACGUGAUAGGAGGCCUGGUGGACCACAACCACCAUAAGGGGAUCACUUUUGAGAGGGCAACGGAGCUGGGGAUCAAUCACGCUCAGCUUCCUCUGAGCAGUUUUGUCAAGAUGAACAGUCGGAAGGUUCUGGCAGUCAAUCACGUGUUUGAGAUCAUCCUGGCAUACUUGGAGAAGGGCAGCUGGCAGGAGGCCUUCUUCACCGUCCUGCCUCAAAGGAAAGGAGCAGUGGCCGUUGACCAGGAAAAAGAAGAGGAAGAUUCGGACUCUGACUCUGACACCCCAGACCAAACUGAGAAAAGAGCCUAAAACUUUGUGCAAAUGGACAACUUCAAGCAAAGUUAAUUCCUGGGAAAAAAAUCGGAAUAUAUAUGGAUGCUGAGGCUAUGCUUGAAAGAGGGAUGUGUUAACAAAGCAUCUGUUUCUUUUGAAAUUUCACACUGCUUUUUUUUUUUUUUUUUCUUUUUUUUUUUUUUUAAACAGCUAUUUAUUGAAAUUUUGACUUUGUGCCUCCUGUAAUAGGUAAAAACUUAGUUGAACGGCUAAUUAAAGCUAAUACAAUUAUAAGAAGAUACAUUAUUAUUACCGGAAAUAUUUUUUUUCUUUUAGCAAGAAGCAUAAACUGUCUGGUGCUUAAUCUAUUCAUUUAAAAUAACGUUUUAAAGCAGGAUAAAGUUAAUACAUGAGCAUUAUUGUCUCUGGCCCUGGAAUUCUUGGAAAAUAUUUAAAUUUUUGAGAGUAUAUUCACAGUAUAAGAAAUGAAAGCUCCUCAACACAGUUGCUAGUAGCCAAGGAGGACACGGAGGGUUAAAACAUGAAUGACUCUUCAGAAGAAGUAAUAAUCUUCACUCGCGUUUCUGUGCGCGAAAGUCACCGGACGCCACAAUCUUCUGAACAUAGUCAUACUAGGAGAGAGUUUUGUGGAGGUAAUAGUCUUAAUUAGCUUUGGAGCAAAUCAUUUCGCAACAGCUUGAAUGUAACCGACGCUCAUUAAUAUC